UACGGGGGGGGCAAGCGUUGUUCGGAAUUACUGGGCGUAAAGGGCUCGUAGGCGGCCAACUAAGUCAGACGUGAAAUCCCUCGGCUUAACCGGGGAACUGCGUCUGAUACUGGAUGGCUUGAAUCCGGGAGAGGGAUGCGGAAUUCCAGGUGUAGCGGUGAAAUGCGUAGAUAUCUGGAGGAACACCGGUGGCGAAGGCGGCGUUCUGGACUGCAACUGACACUGAGAGACGAAAGCCAGGGGAGCAAACGGG
rnacentral:rRNA from 1 species